CCAUCAUGGAAAAAGAACAGCAAAUAAAUUACUGUAUCAUUAACAUAAAAGGCCAAACAAUUCUUCCUCUAUAAAUUACUUAACCAAACUUCUCACUUCACUCCAUCAAGUCAAGCUCUUCAGUUCUUGUGUUCUGUGAAAAAAGGCUUGAAGAAUGAGGGCAGUGAUGCUUGUGUUGGUCCUGUCCAUGAUGCUGAGCACUGGCUUGGCCAUGAACAAAAGGGCUCAGUUCGUGGUUACCAACCACGAGGUGCGGAGACAGUAUCUGGAAAAGAACGAUGACCAGUUCAAGGAUCUUCCGGUCCCAGAAGGCACAACCACAGAUGGCCACCAUUACAUUCCUAGAGAUAAGUUCACCCCUUCCACGGGCACCUCCGAUGGUUCAGGAACUGCUGGUGGAGACUAAAAUCUACCCUAAGUUCUGGUUUAAGGCACCAGUGGUAUGAUGAAGCUGUGGUACUGGUAGUGUGUGUGCAUUGUAUGAGCUAUGUCAGCUUUUGCAAGUUAUGUGAAAUAGAAGAGAGUUUGCUGUUAUUGAAGUCCUGGUGCAGUUGUAAGCAUUCCUGGUUUUAUGCAUGAAAUAAGAGCAACAGUGACUUUGUAGUGUGCAACUUUAAGCUA